AACGAACGCUGGCGGCAUGCCUAACACAUGCAAGUCGAACGAGACCUUCGGGUCUAGUGGUGCACGGGUGCGUAACGCGUGGGAAUCUACCCUCAGGUUCGGAAUAACUCAGAGAAAUUUGAGCUAAUACCGGAUGAUGACGUAAGUCCAAAGAUUUAUCGCCUGAGGAUGAGCCCGCUUAGGAUUAGGUAGUUGGUGAGGUAAAGGCUCACCAAGCCGACGAUCCUUAGCUGGUCUGAGAGGAUGAUCAGCCACACUGGGACUGAGACACGGCCCAGACUCCUACGGGAGGCAGCAGUGGGGAAUAUUGGACAAUGGGCGAAAGCCUGAUCCAGCAAUGCCGCGUGAGUGAUGAAGGCCUUAGGGUUGUAAAGCUCUUUUACCCGGGAUGAUAAUGACAGUACCGGGAGAAUAAGCUCCGGCUAACUCCGUG
rnacentral:rRNA from 1 species